UAGACCUACGGGGCGCAGCAGUGAGGAAUAUUGGUCAAUGGGCGGAAGCCUGAACCAGCCAAGUCGCGUGAGGGACUAAGGCCCUGCGGGUCGUAAACCUCUUUUGCCGGGGAGCAGUGGUCCGGACGCGUCCGGACCGGGAGAGUACCCGGAGAAAAAGCAUCGGCUAACUCCGUGCCAGCAGCCGCGGUAAUACGGAGGAUGCGAGCGUUAUCCGGAUUUAUUGGGUUUAAAGGGUGCGUAGGCGGACUGUCAAGUCAGCGGUAAAAUACGGGGGCUCAACCUCCGCCCGCCGUUGAAACUGA
rnacentral:rRNA from 1 species